UUGCCUUAAAAGACAACCUAAUUUAAAUUCAGAGAAUCUCACUGUUUAACCUCAUUAAAAAGGAAUGCGGCUUAACACAGGAGGGCUGGGUAAAUUAACACCUGAAUUGCUGGGAACACAUGCAGCCUGGAUUAAAACCUCUUUAAAGCAAAUAAAUAUCCAAGUGAACCCUCAGGCUGGCUCCACCAGCUGCUCCUGGGGGUGGGGGGCAGGGCCAGGAAAAGGCCACGGGGUGGGUGCCCUAGCCGGGCCAUGCACCCCCUCUGCUCUGCUCCCCAGGACACCCGGGUGGGCUCAGAGGCCGCGGUCUGAGACAAGCUGGCCACCUUCCCAAUCUGUCCCCAAAUUUCCUGAGGCGCUGCCAGCGGGGAGGGCUGGCUGGAUUUAAAGGGAAUGAAAAACAGAGAGAUCUUGGCAGGCUCUUCUGAAGGCCGGGCCUCCAAGGCCAGUGCUCCGCCCAAGGCCUGGGGCCGCCUGCCUGACAGCAGCUCUCACUGUGAUAGCGACAGGCCAAGGCCACUGGCCACCCCACCAUCUGCCAGUGGGAGAUGGACAGCUGCCUGAAGCAAGGGCUCUGGCAGGGCCACUUACCCAGGACAUCCCCUCAGUGACCAGUGAUUAGCGACGGGAAGGAGGAGCAGAGAGAUCGCGUCCUCCGGCCCCGCAGCUUGCCUCUGAGGUGAGCCCCGGGCACUUCAGCGAGCUUCCUGAGUGGCCGUGUCCCCGUGGGGCUUUUCCGGUGCUCGAAGGAAAUGUUUUGCUGUCCUGUGCACGGCAUCCCGGCUUUCAGCCUGAUGCGUUUGCAUGCGGUAGGAGCUGGUGGUAAAACAACACGGCCUUUUGAAGGGAGAAGAGCUCUUUGAACCUCCAGCAAGAGGGGAUACCGUUAUUUGCCUGAGAAAAAUCCUGUUCUCUAAGCAAGCCAGAGGAGGAUCGGUUGGACGCAGAGCCACUUCGGGGAGACUGAGCGGUUGUCAGGACAAGAUCCCGGCUGCCAUCAUGAACCUGUGCUAAGUCUUGGCGUUCGGAAAGCCCCGGGAGACCAGGAAGGACCUGCCCACAGGUACUAUGUGCCAAUACUCAAAAAAACGCAAUUUCUGUGUCUGUAACCGUCCCCGAGGUUGGCCCCGCUCUGGCUGGUUUGCGCAUCAGGAUUUGCAAUGGGCCCGAAGAUGUGGGGGCCUGCCGCCUCUCCUCACCAGCCUCCAGGAAGUCUUGUCCCGGGAGACCGUCCAGGUCUCCUGGAUGGCAGGGGCGCCCCGGAGGCAGACGGCAGGGGUGCCUAUGGCACCACACUCUCACCUGUGCAUGUAAGGUGCACCUGACUUCCAGGUCAGGACAUCGCUUUGAGCUCCUGGUUCUGCCUGACCGAUGGGUGGGUUAGUCAUAUGGAGAAGGCGUCUUCGUUUUUUGAAGAGCGUGCUGUUUCCCACGAGUCUUGGGCAACCCAGAGCAUUGUGCAAACCGUCCCCUCCCGAAUCACAUCCCCACACAUCGCCGGUGUAGUCCUGGCCGUGGCCGGCAGGACCCCGCAGUGCUUUUGCUUUGGGACCGGGCUUGGGCAGGGCCAUGGGCAUCUGUCCCCGGUGGCCCUUUUCCAGGGCCUCCACGGACCCAGUUCUCCUUUGAGUCCUGCCCCUCCCCCACCUGACACGUGAGUAUCCUCAAGUCAGAAGCCUCUCAGCCCCCUCCUCUCAUCCCUAGAAAGCAAUGCAUGUACUUCCUUCAGGGAGACUUUGAUCUCUCUUGCUCCAAGCCCUCCCAUGCAUUGAUCUUGGCCCAGCAGCAUCCGUCAUUGUCCCCAGGGAACCCAAGCUUAGAUACAGCCAUGAACAGGGCAGCAGGGAGAGCAGGAGCCGGUGGUGGGUGUGGGAGGGAGGGAAGGACAGCUGUGUCGCAGGCUCUGUUCUGCCCCCUUGGCUUGAAUUCAUGCCUGUUUCCAGAAACACGGUGGAGCACUAUGUACCAUGGAGGUCGGCAAGCCCCAGAGCCAAGAGUCUCCAAAGUAUGAGAUGGCUCGGGCUCCUGAGAAGCUGGCUUCUGACUCACCCAGGGGCAGUGGGCAGACGGGCUGGCUGGGCGGCGCUGGGCCAUGCUUCGCUCAGGGACCGGGCUGUCGUGGCCCUGCCUCCUGCAACACACACCGGUUCCAAGGUUGCCAUGGUAAUCUUCUUUCCGGCCAGCCAGGAGUGGGAAAGGAGUGUGGUGGAGAGUCACCGAGGGGUUUGGGACCAGAGACCUUCCACUCAGGGUGCCAUGCCCAGAGCACUGAGCCGCACAGGGAUAGUGAGGAGUAUUCUGUCAUCGCAGGGGGCCUCGGGGCCAUCAGGGGCCCUUCAGGGCACGUGGACAGGACAGAGCCCCCAGCGCUGGGGAGACUUUCCUGAGGGCAGACGGUGACUGAAGUGUUAACACCCUCGAUCAGCAAGAAGUAGAAGUGAGAUCUGAACGUGACUCUACUCUUCCGGCAACUUGGAAGACCAGUGCCCCGGGGGACACUCAGCUGCUCUCUGUGGCUUGGCCUGGCCCUUGUGUCACAGGCGGAGCAGAGGAAGCAGCAUCGGCACAGCGUUCUCCGUGAAGCGUCCCUGUGGGCAGCCUGGGCUGUGUGUAUGGCAGGAAUGAACCUACCCCACCAUCAGGUCUUCUGAACUGGCUCCUGACCGCUUCCGGUCAUCCCUCCGUGGGCAGGAUUCUGGGAUGCCACCCACACUUUGUGCCCUGGACCCUCAGAAUCUCCUCAUUCUGUCCUCUGCCUUCCCUCCAAGUCCUCAGGCUCAGGGGCUGCUUUUCCUCCAAAACCACCCGUUGCUGAAGCAGACCUAAUGUCCACAGAGCUUCCACAGGUGCAGAAAAGUGCACUGGGGGAAGCAGAGCAUGCUGGGAGAAUGCCCCAAGGGUCCAGCAGCCAGCGUGUGCUCUCCCCUGCCCCACAGUCUCCGCAGCCCAGGCAUGCUGUUCCAGAAACUUCCUAACCUCCUGGGCAGCGGGGACAAGUGGAACCAAGCGCUAAUGGGUGACCAGAAGCGCACAAGACCUGUCAGCCUCCCUGUUUGAAUGUCCUCCUGCCCCGUGGGUGUCAUGUGGGCUCUUGUGAGCCCAUGGCUGUGCCUUGCCCUCUUUGCCCUUGAGGACACGGGCUUGUGGUCAUUGUGACCAUCGUCUUUCUAGAAACAGGCUGAGGCUGGUGAGCUAACUCUGGAGCAGCCAACACUGUGAAUCGAUCCCUGGGCUGCCCGCCUACCUCAGAACUUUCUAUUCCUUUCCAUGUGGGUGCAGCAGUUUCCAAGGGACCAUUGUUGCAGUGGACUGAGAUUUAUUUCUAAUAAUUGUCCUCAUUUUAUUCAACACGGACUCCUGGCUCCCUUCUCAUCAGACACAUGUGUCUGUGCAUGGUACCCCACAGGUACCCCAUGCAAAUACAGAUACGCUAUCUUUGGACUUGCCUUCCCUCUUCCCUCACUCUGCUUGAGGUGGUGGUGUUUGACAUCGCCGGGCCAAGGGCCACCCCCGUGCCCCCCGCCACCGCAUGUGGUUGGCUCUCCAGAGAGCAGUGGAGGCAGGAAACCAUUGAGUGCUGGGUUCUUAGUGGGAAGCAUCGCCAUUACCAUCAACUUGGAACAGCUUGAGGAGCGAUCUGAUGUCCGUUCACAAUCCAUGUUUGUGUGUGCAGAGGGGCUGAACUAGCUGGAGAAGGGAGCGCGUCAUACUGAAGAUGGCAGAGAUGUAAGAAUAAGGCUUUAAGGCAAUAACCCUGUAAGCCACGGUUUACCAGAUGGCAAGGACUGAUAUUCAAUUCACUACCCUUGAGGUAUGGAUUCAUAUCUGAUGUCUACUGGACAGAUGGCCCCAACCAGCAGGGAACCAGAUGAGAAGUCAGAGUGUGCAUACAGAGGAGAAUGCUCUCUCUCUCUCUCUCUCUCUCUCUCUCCCUCACACACAUACACACGCUAUAACAUGGGUGAAUCUUGUUAAUAUUACACCCAGUGAAAGACGACAUACUAUAUGAUCUCCUUGAUGUGAGACGUCCAGUAAAAGCAUAUCUGUAGAGCCACAAGUAGGUCACUGGUUGCCUGGGGCUGGGGGCCGGAACGGGGAUUAGCUAUAAAUGUGCAUGAGGGCUCUUGCUGGGGUGAUGGAGACGUUCUAAAACUGGAUCGUGAUGAUGUUUGCACAACGUGGCAAAAUUUGCUAAAAAUUAUUGAAGUGUAUGCUUAAAAUGCUUGAAUUUUAUGGUGUGUUGUUUAUGCCUCAAUAAAGUUGUUUUUUAAAA